UACGGAGGGGGCUAGCGUUGUUCGGAAUUACUGGGCGUAAAGCGCGCGUAGGCGGACCUGCAAGUCGGGGGUGAAAGCCCGAGGCUCAACCUGGGAACUGCCUUCGAUACUGCGGGUCUCGAGUCCGGGAGAGGUGAGUGGAAUUCCUAGUGUAGAGGUGAAAUUCGUAGAUAUUAGGAAGAACACCAGUGGCGAAGGCGGCUCACUGGCCCGGUACUGACGCUGAGGCGCGAAAGCGUGGGGAGCAAACAGG
rnacentral:rRNA from 1 species